rnacentral:rRNA from 1 species
GACGUAGGGCGCGAGCGUUGUCCGGAUUUAUUGGGCGUAAAGAGCUCGUAGGCGGCUUGUCGCGUCGACUGUGAAAUCCCGCGGCUCAAUCGCGGGUCUGCAGUCGAUACGGGCAGGCUAGAGUUCGGUAGGGGAGACUGGAAUUCCUGGUGUAGCGGUGAAAUGCGCAGAUAUCAGGAGGAACACCGGUGGCGAAGGCGGGUCUCUGGGCCGAUACUGACGCUGAGGAGCGAAAGCGUGGGGAGCGAACAGG